rnacentral:rRNA from 1 species
UUUGUUUCCUAAUUAGAAACUAGAAUGAAAGGUUUAACAUUUUAAUUAUUUUAUUAAUUAUUUAUAUAAAUUUAUACUAAACAUAAAAAUAUGUUUAUGGUCUAAAAAGACGAUAAGACCCUAUUAAAUUUUACUUAAUGUUUAACUGGGGCAGUUAUUUAAUUAAUACUUUAAACACAUAAAAUAAAUACCUAAUAUAAAUAUACUAUAAUCAAAUUACUAUAGGGAUAACAGCGUUAUAUUAUUUAAAAGUUCAUAUUUAUAAUAAUGAUUGCGACCUCGAUGUUGAAUUAUAUUUCUAUUAUUAACGCAACAGUUAAAUAAGUAGGUCUGUUCGACCUUUAAAAUAUUACAU